AGGGAAUCCAAACUCUUAAGCAUAUAAGUCGGAGUGUUCCAAAAGUCCCAACUCAGUCCAUAAUCCCGGUAACUUUGGAAAAUAAGCUUAGAGGCGGAAAGAUUCGUGGCGCUUGGAGGAUGUGUAUCGAUGAUGAAUGGAGUCAAGGGGCCGAGCGUUAAUCGAUUCGAGGAUAUAGUCUCCUUUUAUGUUUUUUU